AUGCAUCUCUGACAAACUUGGAGCAAUUAAUGUCUGCUGCUAUGGUUUCUACUACAGACGCAAGAAAAAGAAGGUCCUUGCACUUUCUGUCUGGUUGUGGCAGCCAAGACUGAACGGGAGAAUAUAGGA
rnacentral:snoRNA from 1 species